UAUAUUUUAGUGUAAGAAGCACUAGAAUUUUUGAUUUUCUAAGAAAUAGUUUAAUUCUAUUAAAUAUAA
rnacentral:tRNA from 1 species